ACAGUUCAAAUGUUCAUGCACUUAUAUUUUUUCUUUUUCAAUGACAAUAAAUUACCAAAUGUAUAUCAUUUCAGAAUUACAUUGACAUUCCCUUUAAAUGACAAAACCAUAUCCUGAAGACAAAGAAACUACAGAUUCCUCCAUAGAAAAAACAAGAAACACACCAAUAAGAACAACCUCAAUAACUCCUAAACCCACAAUGUUAAAUGUUAGUGAAGAGUAUACCAUGCAAGCGAAAUGUACUUCUGAAAUGAUAUUUCCUUAGUCCACAACAAAACUUUUCAGAUAUAAAUUC
rnacentral:lncRNA from 1 species